rnacentral:tRNA from 1 species
GGGAAUGUAGCUUAAAGGUUAGAGCAUUAGCUUGUCGAGUUAUUGAUAUGGGUUCAAUUCCCUUCAUUCCCG